CCUAGGAUUGUUGGCCUAGGAGCGCGCUCGUGCGAGUGGGAAACAGAAGCAAAAAAAAAGGGGGAAAGAAAAAGAAAUAUGGAGCGGAAUCAAGGAAAAUGGUGUUUAAAAAUCCCUCUUAUUUCCUAUGUACUCUCUACACUCCGUAUACACUCGUGGCUUACGAGUUGAGUGCUCUCACAAAUACAGCCGAAAAGCAAUCGAAAUGCAUUUGGAUUGAAGGGAGAUUGAAGCCGCAGCCGCAGCACAUGGUACGCCUGUAGUAGUAGUAGUAGUAGCAGCAGCAAAAAGAAAAAAGUUCACACACACGAACAGACCUCCAAAAAAUGGCAACACUUGCCACACAAACGGUUUACACGACACUAAAGGCGGCCACACGCCAAGAACUCGACAAGUGGGAACGGGAGGGACCAAAGUGGUGGAAGAUGGAGAUGAGCUGAUGGAAAACUAAGGCGGCACGAGUACAUAUCUGGAUCAGCAAACAUUUAUCCAGAAUUCAUGGAGAAAGGCUCCAUUCCUUUCAGUUUUCUCUUGUAUAAUCACGAAAUGUUCUUGGGGCCUGGGAUCGUAAACCCAAAGAGGAAGCCCAGGAAGAGUGCCCCCUCCCGCCCGCUCAGAGUUGUGUCGUCAUGGGCGGGCAACAACUACAAUGAGAAGCGCGUUAAGGCCGCAGCCAGAGGAGACAAGCAUCGUGCCAGCCGCAGCAGCAGCAGCAAUUGGACAAGGCUUGCCCUCUCGGAGUCCAAUUGGACUUCCCGACACCAGGAGAUGGAGCCAGAGCCGUAGCAAGGGGACUGGACUACCCAUUCAGGCAACACACAGAAUUGUUCGCGCAUUUGGCAAAAAAUCAAUUUUCCUUGUGAUUGCCAAAUGCAAUUGCAAAAGAAUCAAGGCAGAAAAGAGAACAUGCAAAGCAGAAGAUCCAACAAAAAGCAUUAGGCACAAAGCAUAUUUUCACUUUAGACGCGCUUUGGGGAACACCUUCGGGCGUACGCAGUUUUUGCAGUGUUUCGGCUUUAUAUUUUUUUACUGUUAAUUAUUGACAUAACAAAUGGCAAGUCUCCGUCGCUCUUUUCCGCGCACUCACUCCACCCUUCCACCCUCUGUGGGGCGCGGAUGACGGCAACGGCAACGGCAACGGUAGCGUUGACAGCAGCAGUAGCACACGCGAAAUUGCUUAAAUAAAGAGGAUAGGAUAACACAAACACACCGAAACUAGAGCUUAUAAUUUUCCACCGUUGGCGCUCUGCUUCGCUUCCUGGCGAUUCUUUGAACGUAAGGGACUUUUUCGGGGACUGGACUCACGUGCACCUUCAGCACUGGCAAUCGUCAGCACACGUAGGUAUAAAAUUUAAA